AUCUGAUGUGCGUCAAGGUGAAUUUGUGGUUGCCAUGGGGAGCCCCUUUUCUCUUAAAAACACCAUCACAUCUGGCAUCGUCAGCUCUGCUCAGAGAGGCAGUAAAGAACUGGGUCUCUCCAACUCCAACAUGGACUACAUCCAGACGGACGCUACCAUAGAUUUUGGAAAUUCAGGAGGGCCUCUCAUAAACCUGGAUGGUGAGGUCAUCGGCAUUAAUACCAUGAAAGUGACAGCAGGGAUUUCCUUCGCUAUUCCCUCAGACAGAGUCCGUCUCUUCCUAGACCGAUCUGCAGACAAACAGAAGUCUUGGUUUGGAGAAUCGGGAUGGAAAAGGCGUUACAUUGGAGUGAUGAUGUUGACUUUGACCCCCAGUAUAAUCGAAGAGCUAAGGAUGCGAGACCCGUCCUUCCCUGAUGUUUCUCAUGGAGUUCUCAUCCACCGUGUGAUUGUAGGAUCUCCAGCGAACAGAGCCAGAAUGAAGCCAGGAGAUGUUAUUAUUGAGAUCAAUGGGGUAAAGGUGAACACGUCAGAGGAGAUAUAUAAUGCUGUGAGGACCAGCGAAAGCUUAAAUGUGGUGGUCCGCCGGGGGGCCGACCUGCUCAUGCUGCACAUGACCCCAGAGUCCACAGAGUGACAUCAAGUCAAGUAUUUAGUAAGAUUAAGAAAUGGUGAGUAAUGAGAAGCUGUCAUAGUUGGAGAUGUUGUAAGAAAGGAAUCAUCUAAAGAGUUGAACAGUUUUAGCAAACGCUGGACAUUCGUGUAGUAAACGUGUUUCUGGAAGCGUAUGAAAUAAUGUGGAUGAUUCAGACUUCUGUACACUGGAUAAACCUCAGUGUGUCUGCGCAAACUACACUAUCAGUAUUGAUUUGAAGGAAUAUCACUGAAUAUUUUGUUUAGGAUUGUCAUGAUG